rnacentral:rRNA from 1 species
UACAGAGGUCUCAAGCGUUGUUCGGAUUCAUUGGGCGUAAAGGGAGCGUAGGUGGCGUCGUAAGUCAGGUGUGAAAUCUCGGGGCUCAACUCCGAAACUGCAUUCGAUACUGGCGUGCUUGAGGACUGGAGAGGAGACUGGAAUUCAUGGUGUAGCAGUGAAAUGCGUAGAGAUCAUGAGGAAGACCAGUGGCGAAGGCGGGUCUCUGGACAGUUCCUGACGCUGAGGCACGAAGGCCAGGGGAGCAAACGGG